rnacentral:tRNA from 6 species
GCCGAAGUGGUGGAAUUGGUAGACACGCAGGCUUGAGGUGUCUGUGGGGCAACCCAUGCCGGUUCGAGUCCGGCCUUCGGUACCA